rnacentral:rRNA from 1 species
AAUGAACGCUGGCGGCAUGCCUUACACUUGCAAGUCGAACGGCAGCAUGACCUAGCUUGCUAGGUUGAUGGCGAGUGGCGAACGGGUGAGUAAUGCAUCGGAACGUGCCUUUUAGUGGGGGAUAACGUAGCGAAAGUUACGCUAAUACCGCAUAUUCUCUGAGGAGGAAAGCAGGGGACCUUCGGGCCUUGCGCUAGAAGAGCGGCCGAUGUCGGAUUAGCUAGUUGGUGAGGUAAAGGCUCACCAAGGCAACGAUCCGUAGCGGGUCUGAGAGGAUGAUCCGCCACACUGGGACUGAGACACGGCCCAGACUCCUACGGGAGGCAGCAGUGGGGAAUUUUGGACAAUGGGCGCAAGCCUGAUCCAGCCAUGCCGCGUGAGUGAAGAAGGCCUUCGGGUUGUAAAGCUCUUUCGGCUGGGAAGAAAUCGCACCCUCUAAUACAGGGUGUGGAUGACGGUACCAGCAUAAGAAGCACCGGCUAACUACGUG